rnacentral:rRNA from 1 species
UACGAACUGUGCAAACGUUAUUCGGAAUCACUGGGCUUAAAGGGUGCGUAGGCGGCUAUCUAAGUAGGGUGUGAAAGCCCCCGGCUCAACCGGGGAAUUGCGUUCUGAACUGGAUGGCUGGAGUGAGAUAGGGGUGUGUGGAACUUCCAGUGGAGCGGUGAAAUGUGUUGAUAUUGGAAGGAACGCCGGUGGCGAAAGCGACACACUGGGUCUCAACUGACGCUGAGGCACGAAAGCCAGGGGAGCGAACGGG